rnacentral:rRNA from 1 species
CCUACGGGGCGCAGCAGUGAGGAAUAUUGGUCCAUGGGCGCGAGCCUGAACCAGCCAAGUCGCGUGAGGGAAGACGGUCCUAUGGAUUGUAAACCUCUUUUGUCGGGGAGCAAAAGACGCCACGCGUGGCGUUCCGAGAGUACCCGAAGAAAAAGCAUCGGCUAACUCCGUGCCAGCAGCCGCGGUAAUACGGAGGAUGCGAGUGUUAUCCGGAUCCACUGGGUGUAAAGGGAGCGUAGACGGCCGUGCAAGCCAAGAGUGAAAGCCCGGGGCCCAACCCCGGGACUGCUCUUGGAACUGUGCGGCUGGAGUGCGGGAGGGGCAGGCGGAAUUCCUGGUGUAGCGGUGAAAUGCGUAGAUAUCAGGAGGAACACCGGCGGCGAAGGCGGCCUGCUGGACCGCGACUGACGUUGAGGCUCGAAAGCGUGGGGAGCGAACAGGAUUAGAUACCCUUGUAGUC